AGCAUUUAUAGAAUGUGUUUAGGACAAAUAUGAGUGUAUAAUGGCGUAUAUAGUUGAAUAAGAUGGAUUUGGGAAGUAAAUAGAGGUAAUAGAAGCAUUUAUAGAAUGUUUUUAGGGCAAAUAUGAGUGUAUAAUGGUGUAUAUAGUUGAAUAAGAUGGAUUUGGGAAGUAAAUAGAGGUAAUAGAAGCAUUAAUAGUGGUUAAUAGGGCAAAUCUGAGCGUAUUAUGCCGUAUAUAGUUGAAUAAGAUGGAUUUGGGAAGUAAAUAGAGGUAAUAGAACCAUUAAUAGAGGUUUAUAUGGCAAAUAUGGGUGUGUAAUGCCGAAUAUAUUUGAAAAAGAUGGAUUUGAGGAGUAAAUAGAGGUAAUAGAAGUAUUAAUAGAAUAUGUUUAGGGCAAAUAUGAGUGUAUAAUUGCGUAUAUAGUUGAAUAAAAUGGAUUUGGGAAGUAAAUAGAGGUAAUAGAAGCAUUAAUAGUGGUUUAAAGGGCAAAUAUGAGCGUAUAAUGCCGUAUAUAGUUGAAUAAGAUUAAUUUGGGGUGUAAAUAGAGGAAAAAGAACCAUUAAUAGUGGUUUAUAGGGCAAAUAUGGGUGUAUAAUGCCGUAUAUAGUUGAAAAAGCUGGAUUUGAGGAGUAAAUAGAGGUAAUAGAAGCAUUUAUAGAAUGUGUUUAGGACAAAUAUGAGUGUAUAAUGGUGUAUAUAGUUGAAUAAGAUGGAUUUGGGAAGUAAAUAGAGGUAAUAGAAGCAUUAAUAGAGGUUUAUAGGGCAAAUAUGGGUG